AACCUCACUUCGCUCGAGUUCUUGGAAAAUCUCACAAGCAUCGGACCACAAAACUCCGGCAACUUUCGCCCUGGUUCAGUGGUUUUGAUGGUGAAGAACACGAGACUCGAGUCGCUGCCCAGCACUUGGGAGAAGUUGACGCUCAGAGGCACCGCGAAGUUCAUCGACAACCUCAGGCUGUGCCUCAACCAAAUACAUCGCUUCACAUCCAGACUCGACGUACUCAACAUCAGCGUUGUGCAAGGACAGCUCUACGGGACGAUUGAGGUGACGUUGCUGCCCCACAAAGACC